UAAGAGACUGACGUUUGACCUUUGAACUAAAAUGUCAGCUUCCAUUGAACAUGGCAGAUAAAUAUUUUGAUCAAAUCAGAAAUCAAUUUUCCAAGAACCGCUUCCUAAAACAUGGACUUCCAUUUAUUCUGUUGGUAGUUGGAGGUUCAUUUGCCUUAGAGAAUCUUACCAGACUUAGAUAUGAAUUUAGACAGAGAAAAGAGGUAGAUUUUGAAAAAGCGGAGAAAGAGCUUGGUAUUAAAAUAAAGAAAAAAGAAACUCCAGUUUCAAUAGAAUCACUUCAUCAAGAAAUGAAACAGAAGGACUUAGAUUCCUGGCAAAAUAUCAGAGGUCCAAGACCAUGGGAAUCCUCAAAAGAUAUUCAAGAAGAAUUGAGAAAGGGUACAAAAGUGUGAAAAUCAUUCAUUGGUUUCAGCGAACUCACUAUCAACCGGUUUUGUCAUAAUAAAAUGGGUACAUUAUUAUAAUGACCCCAGUUUACCUACGGAAAGAAACCACUGUAUUAUAGGGAGAUUUUUUUUUUUUGUGUAAAAGAUUUCUAAAAUGAAAGUAGGAUGUGGUGUUUUAAACCGAUCCAAUGUUAAUAUGUGUAAAUCUGUGUUGUGGCUGAUUGAAAUAUUUUAGAACAUUUUAUAAGUUGUGUGUUGUCUUGGAAUUUUAUAGUAAAUUUAAAUUUUGUUAAUGAGAGAUUCAUGUGUGAUAUAUUAGAUAUAUAGAAAUUGA